AGAUGCGUGGUCCAGAGCCGUGUGAUCUCACCCUGCUGUUUGCCUCUUUUAUCAGCGACUGUUUCUCAGAGCUUGGCACACAGCGUAACAAGCCACAUAAGAUGUGAAUAAUCCUCCCCGGAUUCUGCCAAGRCAGAUCUCAUGAGCUUAUCACCAACGAUAGUCAGUGCUUUGACUAUCACUCUCUACCAAGUCAACACUUUGAUGGGCUCCUACAAGAAAGUCCUGCAGCAAAGCACGUGUUGCUGACAUGUUUUUAAUGCCGGUGCUCACGGGGAGGAUGAAGAGUGCUGYGCUGCGGAGGGGACGUUUCAGGUGCCCUGGGUGGGUGAUGACAGAAAAGCUCUGUAUAAAAUACAGCAGUUUUGAAGAACUUGCUGUGCAAUUUUAACGAAGCAGCCAGCACGCUCUGCUUCUCUCCUUGAUGCCUUUACAAGGUUUCCGCAGGUCAGCAUGUUUCAGCGAUGGGGGUGUGAUGCCUACCUAUAUUUUCCUGGGUGCCGCCAGUGCCUGCCCCUGGCUCAUCCAGAGGUGCUCAGACCUGCUGCAUCCUCCGCGAGCAGUCGGACGUAGCCAGCGGCUCCACAUGGGUCACCUGCCCGAAGAGCUGGUCCGGCCUCGGCAGAAAAAUACACAGGUGCUUUUUGGAGCCGCAGCCUGGGAGCCGGCAGGGCGAUUCCCACCGAGCGCGGAGCCGGGAGCGCCCAGCGGCACGAUGCUGCGCCGUCGCAACGCCAGAGAGCAAACCCCAGCUGAGACGGGGAAUUUUUCACUCUUUCCAAAAUCUCUUGGCAAAAAGCAGACUCAACAACUACCCAGAGCUGCUUUUUUUUUUUUUUUCUUUUUUUUUUCUGCAGCUUUGUCCAGUAAUAAACAACUGCUUCAAUCUGCUGCGCUGAUCAAAAGAAACGUUUUAAUCAGUCCCAGGCAAAAUAUCAUGCUAUUAUGUUAUCACUGGAGCAAAUCAUCGAAAAUACAAAACAAAAAUAUCAGUUUAAUACGGUCCAGAUCAGGAAUGUCUUGAAGAAACUUGCUUUCCUCACAGGUGUGUUCUAUUUUAAGAGUAAAGACAGAAGAAUUAAAACGCGCAGGCUGGAUUUGGGGCUAGCGUGGCUGUCAAAGCUGAGACGCCGAGAUCAAACCUAACCAAGCACAAUUACAGGAAAUAAAACGGGCAAACCGCUCUGCUCUAUUCCGUGU
rnacentral:lncRNA from 1 species